GGGGGACAACAUUUCGAAAGGAAUGCUAAUACCGCAUACGUCCUACGGGAGAAAGCAGGGGAUCUUCGGACCUUGCGCUAAUAGAUGAGCCUAAGUCGGAUUAGCUAGUUGGUGGGGUAAAGGCCUACCAAGGCGACGAUCUGUAGCGGGUCUGAGAGGAUGAUCCGCCACACUGGGACUGAGACACGGCCCAGACUCCUACGGGAGGCAGCAGUGGGGAAUAUUGGACAAUGGGCGCAAGCCUGAUCCAGCCAUGCCGCGUGUGUGAAGAAGGCCUUAUGGUUGUAAAGCACUUUAAGCGAGGAGGAGGCUACUGAAGUUAAUACCUUCAGAUAGUGGACGUUACUCGCAGAAUAAGCACCGGCUAACUCUGUGCCAGCAGCCGCGGUAAUACAGAGGGUGCAAGCGUUAAUCGGAUUUACUGGGCGUAAAGCGCGCGUAGGCGGCUAAUUAAGUCAAAUGUGAAAUCCCCGAGCUUAACUUGGGAAUUGCAUUCGAUACUGGUUAGCUAGAGUGUGGGAGAGGAUGGUAGAAUUCCAGGUGUAGCGGUGAAAUGCGUAGAGAUCUGGAGGAAUACCGAUGGCGAAGGCAGCCAUCUGGCCUAACACUGACGCUGAGGUGCGAAAGCAUGGGGAGCAAACAGGAUUAGAUACCCUGGUAGUCCAUGCCGUAAACGAUGUCUACUAGCCGUUGGGGCCUUUGAGGCUUUAGUGGCGCAGCUAACGCGAUAAGUAGACCGCCUGGG
rnacentral:rRNA from 1 species